rnacentral:lncRNA from 1 species
GGCUUCCCCUCUCUCCGGCAGGGUGCUCGUGGAAACGAUGGUGCUACUGGUGCUGCUGGGCCCCCUGGUCCCACUGGCCCCGCUGGUCCUCCUGGCUUCCCUGGUGCUGUUGGUGCUAAGGGUGAAGCUGGUCCCCAAGGAGCCCGUGGCUCUGAAGGUCCCCAGGGUGUGCGUGGUGAGCCCGGCCCCCCUGGCCCUGCUGGUGCUGCUGGCCCUGCUGUGA